rnacentral:lncRNA from 1 species
AUCAGCACUGAGCCGGUCCCGCCGCCGCCCCAGUGACGGGCUGCUGCUGCGGGAAGCCAAUCGCCCAGCGCUUGGAGGAGGGCGACGAGGCCUUCCGCGCGAGCGAGUACCAGAAAGCAGUCGGGCUCUUCCGCUCCAUGCUGGCCCGGCUGGCGCAGCCCGACCGCGGCCGGUGCCUGAGGCUGGGGGACGCUCUGACCCGCGCCGGCCGCCUCCCGGUGGCCCUGGGCGCGUUCCGUGUAGCCGGGAGGCUGGAGGCGCUGCGGCCGGAGGAGCUGGGGGAGCUGGCGGGCGGCCUGGUGUGUCCCGGCCUGCGCGAACGGCCACUGUUGGCGAGGAAGCCGGGCGGCGAGCUCAAGGCUAGGGAGGGCCGGCCCUGGCGCCCGGCGCGCCCCGCGACCUGCUUGGCUGCCCGGGGCUGCUGCACAAGCCGGUGACACUGCCCUGCGGGCUCACGGUCUGUGAGCGCUGCGUGGAGCUGGGGCCCGCGCGGCCACGGGCGCGGGCGCGGGCGCGGGCGCGUGAACGUAGUGCUGAGCCGCCUGCUGGAGAGGUUCUUCCCGGCCGAGUGCCCGCUGCGCAGGCUGGAGGGUCAGGCGCGGAGCCUGCAGCGCCAGCAGCAGCCCGAGGCCGCGCUGCUCAGGUGCGACCAGGCCCUGGAGCUGUGA